GGCGGUUCUUGGGUGACACACCCUGGAAUCAGGCUCCCUCCUCUCUGGUUCCGAGUGUGUCACCUGAGAACCACA
rfam:Myotis lucifugus cont2.17167, whole genome shotgun sequence.